GACGAACGCUGGCGGCGUGCUUAACACAUGCAAGUCGAACGGAAAGGCCCUGCUUUUGUGGGGUGCUCGAGUGGCGAACGGGUGAGUAACACGUGAGUAACCUGCCCUUGACUUUGGGAUAACUUCAGGAAACUGGGGCUAUUACCGGAUAGGAGCUCCUGCUGCAUGGUGGGGGUUGGAAAGUUUCGGCGGUUGGGGAUGGACUCGCGGCUUAUCCGCUUGUUGGUGGGGUAGUUGCUUACCAAGGCUUUGACGGGUAGCCGGCCUGAGAGGGUGGCCGGCCACAUUGGGACUGAGAUACGGCGCAGACUCCUACGGGAGGCAGCAGUGGGGAAUAUUGCACAAUGGGCGGAAGCCUGAUGCAGCAGCGCCGCGUGCGGGAUGACGGCCUUCGGGUUGUAAACCGCUUUCGCCUGUGACGAAGCGUGAGUGACGGUAAUGGGUAAAGAAGCACCGGCUAACUACGUG
rnacentral:rRNA from 1 species